AUUGAACGCUGGCGGCAUGCUUUACACAUGCAAGUCGAACGGUAACAGGCCGCAAGGUGCUGACGAGUGGCGAACGGGUGAGUAAUGCAUCGGAACGUGCCCAGUCGUGGGGGAUAACGCAGCGAAAGUUGCGCUAAUACCGCAUACGAUCUAUGGAUGAAAGCGGGGGACCGUAAGGCCUCGCGCGAUUGGAGCGGCCGAUGUCAGAUUAGGUAGUUGGUGGGGUAAAGGCUCACCAAGCCGACGAUCUGUAGCUGGUCUGAGAGGACGACCGGCCGAACUGGGACUGAGACACGGCCCAGACUCCUACGGGAGGCAGCAGUGGGGAAUUUUGGACAAUGGGCGCAAGCCUGAUUCAGCAACGCCGCGUGCAGGAUGAAGGCCUUCGGGUUGUAAACUGCUUUUGUACGGAACGAAAAGCCCUGGGUUAAUACCCUGGGGUCAUGACGGUACCGUAAGAAUAAGCACCGGCUAACUACGUGCCAGCCGCCGCCGUAACAC
rnacentral:rRNA from 1 species